rnacentral:rRNA from 1 species
UGAGAAACGGCUACCACAUCCAAGGAAGGCAGCAGGCGCGCAAAUUACCCACUCCCGGCACGGGGAGGUAGUGACGAAAAAUAACGAUACGGGACUCAUCCGAGGCCCCGUAAUCGGAAUGAGUACACUUUAAAUCCUUUAACAAGGAACCAUUGGAGGGCAAGCCUGGUGCCAGCAGCCGCGGUAAUUCCAGCUCCAAUAGCGUAUAUUAAAGUUGUUGCGGUUAAAAAGCUCGUAGUUGAAUCUGUGUGCCACACUGUCGGUUCACCGCUCGCGGUGUUCAACUGAUAUGUCUGUGGGACGUCCUGCCGGUGGGCGCAGCCCCUCAAAAGGCGGCCCAACUCAAAAUCCUACCACGGUGCUCUUCACCGAGUGUCGAGGUGGGCCGGUACGUUUACUUUGAACAAAUUAGAGUGCUUAAAGCAGGCUCAUUCGCCUGAAUAUUCUGUGCAUGGAAUAAUGGAAUAGGACCUCGGUUCUAUUUUGUUGGUUUUCGGAACUCCGAGGUAAUGAUUAAUAGGGACAACUGGGGGCAUUCGUAUUGCGACGUUAGAGGUGAAAUUCUUGGAUCGUCGCAAGACGGACAGAAGCGAAAGAA